rnacentral:pre_miRNA from 1 species
UGACCUCAUAUUUUCCAAUUCUAAGUCUAUCCCUAUGAAUUCCAAUGAAUUCCGAGAUAGAUUUAGAAUUAGAAAAGCUAAGGUCC